rnacentral:tRNA from 1 species
CAUUAGAUGGCUGAAAGUAAGCAAUGGAAUUUUAAACCAUACUAUAGUAACACACAUCUACUUCUAAUGA